CAGCAGGAACGACGAUGACGGUACCUGAAGAAGAAGCCCCGGCCAACUAAGUGCCAGCAGCCGCGGUAAUACGUAGGGGGCAAGCGUUAUCCGGAUUUACUGGGUGUAAAGGGAGCGUAGACGGCGGGGCAAGUCUGGAGUGAAAGGCCGGGGCCCAACCCCGGGACCGCUCUGGAAACUGCCCGGCUGGAGUGCGGGAGAGGUAAGCGGAAUUCCUAGUGUAGCGGUGAAAUGCGUAGAUAUUAGGAGGAACACCAGUGGCGAAGGCGGCCUGCUGGACUGUAACUGACGUUGAGGCUCGAAGGCGUGGGGAGCAAACAG
rnacentral:rRNA from 1 species